CGCAUGUCUCAACUUAUUUUCCUAUAAAUACUUUUCACUAGUCGUUGUGACACUUAAAACUUCUUAUUUAUUACAAAUCAUACAGCUUAAUGAUUAUCUUUCAGCAAAGCACUCUAAAAAGGAUUGUGCAUCUUACUUUCACAGGGAGAAUUUAGCAUUAGUGCACUUUCUUUGGCAGUGAGGGCGCUCAGAUUUCAACCCUUCUCGACAGUCUGAAGGAAAAUGAGGUAGACCGCAUUUUGUCACACCUGCUGAACAAGUUUCAUCAAGGAUAUGAGAAUGAAUAAAGAAAUUGGCCAGAGCAGUAACCCUGAGACAAAAGGAGAGAAACAAUCCUUAAUAGAAUAAGACUGGGUCACAUUAACAUAAAUAACACGCUGAGAAUUAUUGGUAAGCAUCCAGCUGAUUUAUAGAUCACGCAUCAGCCUUUACAGUCUGUGUGCACUCUGUAUACUAUGUCCUAAUUGUGUAUUUUUAGGAGAAAUUCUGUUUUUUUCUCCACUGAAAUCAGCCUUAGUAAACUGUAUAAACGGAUGGAUGGAAAGAAUGUGUCACAUUUUACUGAUGGAUAUGGAAAUGACAGGAAGAUGCAGGACAAAGAAUAGUGGGCAGCAAGUGUGGAGUUUCUGAAGGGAGGGGUAUGUCCUUCCUGAUUUCCUUCCUGAGCAGCUUUUGUUCUAUUACCUGUGGCAUUUCAGCAUAAUUUCACUAUUUAUUUUUCAGCGCUGGAUGUGGAAAUGUUGAGUUAAGAUAAUGAUAAUGACUGUGUACAGACUUCUACUGAAAUAACAUUUCUCACCCUCACUCUCUGUUCUGCUCCAGACAGGAUGAGGAUACAGUAACAAGGAACAAGCCAGAAUGCAACAAGCAACAUUUUCCACUCCACCAGUGAAAAGUCUUCCUGUGUGGUGGUAACAAGGGAACGACACCCUCAAAUUACUUAUCCAAGCCUGAACCAGCAAUAUACCUUGGAUCAUUCUUCAUCUAGUGUUGCUACUCCACCUGGACUCUUCAUCUGGAGAAGGAACAAUUAUGAUGUCUACAGUGUCCACAGAUGUUUGGCUGUGAAUGGGAUGAUGAGACUGGGGAGAUUAUUGGUUACUGGUCUUCUCUGUACUUAUGAUGGAGAAGACUGCAUAGCAUUGGACCUGAAGACACUAACCUGGAUCACUCCCAGACCACAAGCUGUCAUUACAAAACACAAGUGGACCCAUGAAAGGGCAAAAUUAAACUUCAAUAAGACGUACCUCACUGAGCAUAUUACUGAUCCUCCCCAACCAUGGAACCUUCCAGAUGAGAGUUGAUCUAACCUUUCAUCAGCCUUAACUGCAGACUGGAGGAGGUACGACAGAGGACAUGACAGGAUUACACAAGAACUACUGAACCAGUUUUCACCAAACUUGUUGGGAGGAAUGAGAAUUUUUUUUUAUCACUUUCCUCAACAUUGCGAGAUCAAGCAUUUUUCUACAUUUCUACAUUUUUCUACACACAAUUUCUCAGGAAAAGUCUGAACCAUGAUGUGAACAAUCACACAUAUUUAUGGUGUUGAGAUAUACGAGUUCAUACUGUCUGGUGCCAGUUAGAGCUACACAGGUGUACAGGAUUGUUUGACCUUGACAGAGGUAUAUGUUACUGUAUGUUCCUAGUACAUUUCAUGUGUAGUAACCUCCACCUGAAAGUUCCUGAAAGUUACAGUUCUUCUCUCCUCAUUUUAUGCAGUGGCAGCUAUAACUUUGAAGUUGUUAGAAGGCACCUUUAACAGAGCUACUGGUUAAUAAUCAUAAUCAAUCAUAGCUGACAGUAUUCAACUCAAGUCAUUUAUUCAUCCACUGUUUCUGUCUUAUGUAUCAUCCUCAAGGUAUUAACAUGAGAAUAUAAUGGAAUGGAAAUAAACAAAAACCAACUGCAACAAUGCAGAGAUAACAAAAUAAAUGGUAUAAUGUAACUAAAUAUAAUAAACAAUAUGUAAAAACUUACAUGUUCCAGAGAUAAUUUCAUCCAUUUUGACACCUCACGAUGAUUAUUUUAA